UUUGCAAGUCGAAAAUGUGCA
rnacentral:piRNA from 1 species